rnacentral:lncRNA from 1 species
AUGGGACCAUCAGGAGAGCUGUGUGACUUCACCAGUUUCUUGUUCUUUGAAAUGCAUUCUGCAGAGCACGAGGCAGGAGCUGAUGGCCCCACCUGCACUCACAUCUUGCUCAGCCUGAUGACAACAUCUGGACCAGCUCAGAAUAGAAUCAUGAGGUCGGUGUUUAUAACUUCCCAAACCAUCUAUAUGCUGUUUUUAGUGCUGACGCUGUGCAUGAAAGGCCGUGUCACCACCGUGCUCAUGUUUCCGUGUGACUCUGGGGCUGAUUUGUCCCAUUUCGUAACCAGUAAGCGAAGUGAGUCUGACAGCCUUGAUUUCAGCUCUCACUUGCUGGUUCCCAUGCUGCAGAUAGGCUCCAUUAGUAGCAAAUUCCUGCCAAAAGAAGUGAAUUACAGUUCAGGCUGA